rnacentral:lncRNA from 1 species
UGAGAGGAAGCUUUAACGGAAGUCUGAUUGAUGCAUGAGUGAAUGACAGAUUGUUCUUUCUUCUCCUGCCUCUCACUCAAGAUUUUCCCAUCACCCAGCCCAGAGUUUCUCACUAGGAAUUCUUGCUUUCUUUCUCUUUCAUCUUCUCCAUUGCAACUGUCAGUCCCCCCCGCCCCCCAGGUUUCAGUGACCUGAGAUGGAAGGGGUGGGGGAGACGAGAGAAAGAGGAGAGGGAGGCCUGGCUGGGGGCCCUCGGAGAGCACGGGAGACCAUGGCCCUGGGUCCCGGGGCUUCCAGGGGGCUGCUCCCCCGUCUCCCACUUGCCCUUGAAUGCUGGCCUCCUGGGGCAGGAAACAGGGAGGCGGCCACCCUGCUGAUUUGGAAACAGGGACAGCUGUUGGGGGUGGGGGCUGCAGGGCAGUGCGUCUCCUGGGAGCUGGACUGAAUCAGGAGCCUCUGACCACCCUGGAGGGCCCCCUCCCUCGCCCCUCGGCCGUCCCACAGCAGCAAGGGACUUCCAAAGUCAGCAAGUCCAACCUCUCUCGUUUUACACCUGAGGGAAACUGAGGCCCAGGCGAGUGAAGGCACGAAAGCUUUGGACCCAGGUCCUCUGACUCCACAUUCAGUGCCCUCUCUUCCAGGAGCCUGGCAUGAACCCACAAAUACACCCUGGGUUUCCAAGACUUAGAGCCUAGAGGGGGACACCAGAUGCCACCCAGCCAACAGUCAGGACCAUCCUACUCUAAGGA